GUCAGGUGUGGUGGUGCACACCUGUAGUCUCAGCUACUUGGGAGGCUGAGGUGGGAGGAUUGCUUGAGGCCAGGAGGUCAAGGCUGCAGUGAGCCAUGAUUGCGCCACUGCACUCCAGCCUGGGCAACAGAGCAAGACUUUGUCUCAA
ensembl:misc_RNA Metazoa_SRP Metazoan signal recognition particle RNA